GGCGGGAUAAAAGGGCGAUGCUGAAGGUAGGCUGGCGGAUACGUUCGUUAGCUUACUCCUUUCUGUCCGUGGACGCGGCCGAGGAAGCAUCGCUUAAGUCUCUCUUCCCACUGCCGUUAUGUCUAAGUCGGAGUCUCCUAAAGAGCCCGAACAACUGCGGAAGCUCUUCAUCGGAGGGCUGAGCUUUGAAACGACCGAUGAGAGUCUGAGGAGCCAUUUUGAGCAAUGGGGAACCCUCACGGACUGUGUGGUAAUGAGAGAUCCAAACACCAAGCGCUCCAGGGGCUUUGGAUUUGUCACUUAUGCCACUGUGGAGGAGGUGGAUGCAGCUAUGAAUGCAAGGCCACAUAAGGUGGAUGGAAGAGUUGUGGAACCAAAAAGAGCUGUCUCGAGAGAAGAUUCUCAAAGACCGGGUGCCCACUUAACUGUGAAAAAGAUUUUUGUUGGUGGCAUUAAAGAAGACACUGAAGAACAUCACCUGAGAGAUUAUUUUGAACAGUAUGGAAAAAUCGAAGUGAUAGAAAUCAUGACAGACCGAGGCAGUGGAAAGAAAAGGGGCUUUGCUUUUGUCACUUUUGAUGACCAUGAUUCUGUGGAUAAGAUUGUCAUUCAGAAAUACCAUACUGUGAAUGGCCACAACUGUGAAGUAAGGAAAGCCCUGUCGAAACAAGAGAUGGCUAGUGCUUCAUCUAGCCAAAGAGGUCGAAGUGGUUCUGGAAACUUUGGUGGUGGUCGUGGAGGUGGAUUUGGUGGCAAUGACAAUUUUGGUCGGGGAGGAAACUUCAGUGGUCGAGGUGGCUUUGGUGGUAGCCGUGGUGGUGGUGGAUAUGGUGGCAGUGGGGAUGGCUACAAUGGAUUUGGUAAUGAUGGUGGUUAUGGAGGAGGCGGCCCUGGUUACUCUGGAGGAAGCAGAGGCUAUGGAAGUGGUGGACAGGGUUAUGGAAACCAGGGCAGUGGCUAUGGCGGGAGUGGCAGCUAUGACAGCUAUAACAACGGAGGAGGCGGAGGCGGCUUUGGCGGUGGUAGUGGAAGCAAUUUUGGAGGUGGUGGAAGCUACAAUGACUUUGGCAAUUACAACAAUCAAUCUUCAAAUUUUGGACCUAUGAAGGGAGGAAACUUUGGAGGCCGAAGCUCUGGCCCUUAUGGUGGUGGAGGCCAAUACUUUGCUAAACCACGAAACCAAGGUGGCUAUGGUGGUUCCAGCAGCAGCAGUAGCUAUGGCAGCGGCAGAAGGUUUUAAUUGCCAGGGAGAUACUGCUACUACAGGCUUCUCAGCUCUUUUUUUAAAAAACUUUGGUCCAAGUUCAUGGCUAAAAGGACAUCCUUGUGAGGACAACCUUUAUUCUGAGCCACUAUACUUCAUUCUCACUGCCAUGUAGUUGGUUUUAGCUGCUCUGCAGCUCUAAUCAUUCAGUUUUGUGAAUGGAUUUUUAAAUAAACUGCACUUAGUUUUGCUUCUUGUUUUCCUUGUCUCCCUUUGUGAUACAGGUAAAUGAUACUGUGUACCUAUACAGAUUUGGAAGUAGAAAAUGUAGAUAUCGUUACACUGGCCAGUAAGCUUGAAUUUAUUAAGCAGACAGUCCCCUUACUCAUUCCUAGCCAGUGUGUUUCCUUUGAUCCUAAAGGUUAAAAAAAAAUUUAAAUGAAAGCGUGUGUCGAAAUGAUUAGUUCCUUUAAGUGGUUCUAACACUUGCUAUACACAAAACUAUCCCAUUCAAUUUGGUUUGGUGAAAAUAGAGAAAGGUAUUGGUAUCAGGAAUAAUGUGGCCUAGUCACAGAUAUAUGCUGUCCUGGGAUUUUGAAUUCUGCCUCAUGAUUGCAAAGCAGGUGCUGUACUGCUUGAAAUAGGCUUCUAGUCCAUUUUGCUCUGAUUAUUUUGGAGAUUGUCUCAUGAACUAUUUGCGUAGGCUGACUUUGAUCCUCCUGAUCUCAGCCUCCCAAGUAGCUAGGAGCCACAGGUGGAGUUAAAAAGUGAACUUUGGUAGAAUUGAAGUUUGAACUCUGUUUACAAAGCCAUCGCUCUACCAUUUGAGCCACACCUAUUUGAAGAGGUUAGUGUCAGGUCUGUUUGCUCAAAACUUGAAUUUGCUAGGAAAGAUUUGCUUGUACAGCUCUUGAAAGGAUAGAACAACACAGGAUGCCACACUUAGCUAAAAUAUGGGGGUUUUGUUUUGUUCC